ensembl:lncRNA
GUGAGUGCAGAGCCACCAUCGCGUAGCUGAGUGUUAGAGCUGAGCUAAAAGUGCUCUCUGUGGGUUUGCUGAAUGUUUUUGGAGGAGCCUGACGCCGCUUUGCUGGAAGCUCUGCUCCCAGGUGCUGCCCUCUCACGGUGAGGAGUGCAGCCCCAGGGCUGAUAGCGCAAGAGAAGUCAGAGCAAGUGGUGGUGUGCUUUUCAAGACCUCAGGUUUGAUGCUGGGUUGCUCCAUUUCUUUUGGCGCCAGGGUUGUGCUGAAAUCCAUUGCUGGAUGCUACAGGCAAGCAGACAGAGCAGCCCUGCGAGGCUCUCCCGCUCCUGCUUGCCUCAGUGGAGGACUAAUGCCUCCUGGUGGUCCCAAACACGUCUCGCUGAUGGCACAGGAGUGUGCCUGUGCCCCUUCCAGCGUUAACAAGGUCAUCUGGCUGCUGGGACGCCUGGGGAAGGUACCAGAAGCAUCCCAUCCGCUAUCUGCAGCUCACGUGGAGAUGCUCUGGGCACCAAGUGGGAAGGCUCAGAGUGACAGCAAAGAGGUAAGAGACAAAGGACAGGUAGUGGAGAAAGGGCAGAGGCUGAGCUGUGGCAUGAGGCCAUGGGCUGACCAUGGAAGUGCAACGGAACUGGGGGCUGUCGGAACCACUGAAAGCUUCAGUCCUGAAGAGAACCCAGAUACAACGUGGGCUGCUUUAACCAGGGACACAGUGAACAGCCAUGGAAGUGAGAACCCAAAGCUUCAUCAGCAAAAUUCCAUGGUUUAAUGAGGUCUCACUCAGUAUGGCACAGAGCAGGGCUCUGGCACAGAGCAGGGCUCUGGCGCAGUGUAAGGCUAUGGCACACAACAAGAACCCUAUGGUGCCACCUGGAGCUGCACAGGGACAAAAGUUCUUCCAAUGAAAGUAUUCCUCUUCAAAUGAAAAAUACUGUAAACAUGAAGAAAACCUGAAGAUCUUCUGGAGGAAAAAUGAUGCAGUUCUGCACAACAGGAUACAGGGCCAAUAGAGAUGGGGUGGUGUUGGGACAGCUCUGCGGGAGGAGGAGGCUGGAGGCAGUUCUUUUUCCUUCUGGAUGUAUACACCUGUAGUAUUUAUAUGAGAUGGUCUAUUUGCCUUCAGCCUUUCUGCUGCGAGGCUCACCACAAGAUACUCCUUAAGUCCUCACUGAUGGCAGAAUCUCUGUUCUUCUGCUGUAUCCUCAUAGCAGACUCCUCCUCCUGGGUCUGCCU